GUGAGAAGGUGCCACCUGCUCCACAAGGGGUCAGGAAAGGUCUGGCAGGGAGUCAAGAGCAAAUGGGGGUUUGCCCUUGACUUCUGCUUGAGAUGCCCAGAAGCAAGUGGUGUGAGAUGGGAUGCUGGUCUAGAUGGACUGCAGCCUGAUCCAGCAGGGCUCCUCUUAAUUCUUGGAGCACAGGUCCAUCAAUGGCUACCAGAAUGGAUGCCUGGGUACCACCUCCAGGUUGGAGAGGCAGGCAGGAUCCAGCAGGCCUUCUCCUAAGUUCUCUCUUCUUAUUAAAGCCCCUGGGUCUGGAUGAAGCAUCUUGCCUUGUGGUGGGCCAGGCUGCCCAUGCAGUGAAGGAUGGAGGAGGGGGCGUUUUUGUGGGAGGAGGCCAACAGAUCUGUUUCCAAGGCCUUCCGACAUGGUAAGCAUUCCCGUGCAGGAGCCUCAAACCCUCCGCGAGUAGCAGACAUGGCUCUGGGGAACCCCGCUUCACUGCAGGCCCCACGAAACUCUAGGGAGUAGCGGAGAGGCCAGAGCAGAGCCAGGGCUCCGCACGGGAGCCUUACAACAAGGCAGCAAGGUAGGCCGCUCUUGCCUUCCGCCCAGAGGGAGGAGGAAAGCCGAGGCCAGCGCGAGGCCAAGCUGUACGGAGAGGAGGCGAGACGGGGACGCGCAGCUCCCGGCGCCUCUACCUGUGUGCCGUGCCCUGGAGCCGGACCCAGAGCGAGGGGAGCGCCGCCGCCGGCCCUCCUGAUGCCGAAGGCAGCCCCGCGCCCGCGCCGGCACCUGCGCUGCGGCCGGAGCCCCUCCCCGUCCGGCGGCCGGUAGGCUGGCCAUUGGCUGCGGGGCCGGAGGGGAAGGAGAGCCGGGCUGGGCGCCCAUUGGCAGCUGCUCGGCCCCGCAUCGCCGCCGCCGCCGCCUCUUUCCACAGGGCUCCUGUUCGGGGCGCCCCGCCGACCGGGGGCAGGAUGAGGGCGCUGGCCGCGCUUCUGCUGCUGCUGCUGCUGCCGCCGCCGCCGCUGCGGGAUGCCGCCGCCGCCGCCCCAGCCCCUGGAAACCCCGCCGACGGUGCUGCCCCGGAGAGGCGCCGGAAGGGCGCAACUGCGGUAGCAGUGGCUAGGCGAACCCCCAAGGCGAGCAGGCCCAACGACUGUGGCGAGGGUUGCUGCCCUGGCUGGUCCCUUGCGCCCAAGACUGGGAAGUGCACAAAAGCCGUCUGCACGCCCCGCUGUCGCAACGGAGGCCACUGUACGGUUCCCCAGCAGUGCGCCUGCCGCCUAGGCUUCGGCGGUCCCCGCUGUGAGCAUGCCAUCCCCACCAGUACCACGCCGGCUCCACGGCGCCCCCAAGUGGCCCUGCGCUCUGUGGCAGUCCGCUGGCAGCCUAUGACGUGAGUUGUUGGGGGGACGCCUGGACUCAUGCUGUCUGCUCACACCCUGCAAAGAGCCCCAGGGCACCUGGCCAAGGGUGGGGGUGUGCAAAGCGUACUGGGAGGCUUCCAGCGUAGAAGCCUCGGCCAAGAGGAGGGAAGCGGAAUCCGCCACAGCCAGCAUCAGUCUGCAGCUCAGUGAGGUGUGGAUGCCUGAGCAGCUGAAACUUGAACAAGGAAGCAGUGGGCUCAGGAAAGGUGCUGAGGUCACAGAGA
ensembl:lncRNA